rnacentral:misc_RNA from 1 species
GAUGAAGAACGUAGCGAAAUGCGAUAAGUAAUGUGAAUUGCAGAAUUCAGUGAAUCAUCGAAUCUUUGAACGCACAUUGCGCCCGCCAGUAUUCUGGCGGGCAUGCCUGUUCGAGCGUCAUUUCAACCAUCAAGCCCCCGGGCUUGUGUUGGGGACCUGCGGCUGCCCGCAGGCCCUGAAAACCAGUGGCGGGCUCGCUGUCACUCCGAGCGUAGUAGUAUCACCUCGCUCAGGGCGUGCUGCGGGUUCCGGCCGUUAAACCACCCAUUACCCCAAGGUUGACCUCGGAUCAGGUAGGAAUACCCGCUGAACUUAAGCAUAUCAAUAAGCGGAGGA